rnacentral:rRNA from 1 species
GACGUAGGGGGCAAGCGUUAUUCGGAAUCACUGGGCGUAAAGGGUGCGUAGGCGGGUCUUUAAGUCAGGGGUGAAAUCCUGGAGCUCAACUCCAGAACUGCCUUUGAUACUGAGGAUCUUGAGUUCGGGAGAGGUGAGUGGAACUGCGAGUGUAGAGGUGAAAUUCGUAGAUAUUCGCAAGAACACCAGUGGCGAAGGCGGCUCACUGGCCCGAUACUGACGCUGAGGCACGAAAGCGUGGGGAGCAAACAGG